rnacentral:misc_RNA from 1 species
GAGCUCCGGCGGUUUUGUUUUUUCCCGGUGGUCGUGAUGUUGUCGCUGCAAACCGAUCUCCGGCAGUACAAUCAGCAGCAGCAGCUGUUGAUCUCUAGGGUUCCGCCGGAUGGCGUUGCCGUCGGUGAUCAGAAGAUCGAUUCUUCUUUUCCGUUCCAGUCGGAGUCUGCAUUGUCUUCAGGGAAUAUCAAUUCUGAGUUGUCUCGUGAAGUCGAUGAGGAUGCUCUUUUAACUCUUGCUCAUCAGAACUAC